UUUUUUCUCAGAUAAAUGAUGGUUUGAUCUGUUAUUUUGAUAUUUCUACUGGAAAUCUCUGGUGAACCAUGACUUAUACAUGCAUCUGGCUGGGAACAUUGAAUGCAAAGCUGUUUCAGGUUAGAUUCUCAGCUCAUAUGAAAGGAAGAUCAUUAAGUGCCGUAGAAUUUAUGUUUUUUCUACUGUGUUUUAAUUUCUUCAGUGUUCCAUUGAAAAAUGCUGAGUUGUGCUGUUUAAAGCUUGAGCCUAACUGAAUGGCAUUACCUCCAUUGUUCUCACCUUGAAAAUUUUUCACGAGCACAUGCGUUUUGAUGACAACAUGGCAGGUAUCAUGCUCGGUUCUGGUUCCUGCUUUCUAUUUUGGUGGGUAAGAUUUAUAUUGUGUUUAUUCCACUUAGUGUCAAAUUUUCAGUUUCCAGCAGAUUAUGUGUUGGCAGACUAACAGAAAGGGAUAAUUGUUAGCAUUGUAGAUGUGGAUCAAACACCAAACUGCUCCCUGCUGUUUGGUAGCAUCCUGGCUGGUUCCCAGCAAAGGACCGACUAUCUUGGACUACCUGGCAUGCUUACUAUAUGUAGAUGCGAUCUGAUGCAACUAACAGUGCUACAUUCUGGUAUAUAUCUGGUCUCUGUAGUGCAGUGAAUACUUGGAUGUCGCUGCUGCGGCUGCUUUUCUUUUAGGCAAUGAUGGGAAGAAGAGUGGGUAGUAAAAUAUGAAGCUUAGGUCAUGUAUUUCCCACUUGAAAAAGUGGUCCAGGUUUCAACUUUUUACUGCUGUAUGUUGGUUGUAAAUGAAAGAAAUUUGUGGUGGGGAAAGUUGCCAUUCCAAACGAUGUUUGUAGUAAAUGGUGGUCGGCACGGCAAGUAUUGUUAUCAAUUAUCAUAUAUAUAAUAUAAUAUAUAUUGUUUGUAAUAGCUCGAUUUUUAGUGGUGUUGGAAAUAGUGAUUCGAGGUGAUUAAAUUCGGC
rnacentral:lncRNA from 1 species